CUCGCAAGAGAACCGGAACACAGGUGCUGCAUGGCUGUCGUCAGCUCGUGUCGUGAGAUGUUGGUUAAGUCCCGCAACGAGCGCAACCCUUGUCAUUAGUUGCCAUCAUUUGGUUGGGCACUCUAAUGAGACUGCCGGUGACAAACCGGAGGAAGUGGGGAUGACGUCAAGUCCUCAUGGCCCUUAUGGGUAGGGCUUCACACGUCAUACAAUGGUCGGUACAGAGGUUGCCAACCCGCGAGGGGGAGCUAAUCCCACAAAGCCGAUCGUAGUCCGGAUCGCAGUCUGCAACUCGACUGCGUGAAGUCGGAAUCGCUAGUAAUCGUGGAUCAGCAUGUCACGGUGAAUACGUUCCCGGGUCUU
rnacentral:rRNA from 1 species